UCUACGGGACGCAGCAGUGGGGAAUAUUGGACAAUGGGCGCAAGCCUGAUCCAGCCAUGCCGCGUGAGUGAUGAAGGCCUUAGGGUUGUAAAGCUCUUUCGUUGGGGAAGAUAAUGACGGUACCCAAAGAAGAAGCCCCGGCUAACUUCGUGCCAGCAGCCGCGGUAAUA
rnacentral:rRNA from 1 species